rnacentral:rRNA from 1 species
CAAUAGCGUAUAUUAAAGUUGUUGCAGUUAAAAAGCUCGUAGUUGGAUUUGUGGCGUACGGUGUGUUCCGGGCACUUGUUGUCUGAGUAACCUGCUGUUGCCAUCCUUGGGUGGAACCUUUGUGGCAUUAGGUUGUCGUGCAGGGGAUGCCCAUCAUUUACUGUGAAAAAAUUAGAGUGUUCAAAGCAGGCUUAUGCCGUUGAAUAUAUUAGCAUGGAAUAAUGAGAUAGGACUUUUUUGCUAUUUUGUUGGUUUGCGCAAGAAGGUAAUGAUUAAUAGGGACAGUUGGGGGUAUUCGUAUUCCAUUGUCAGAGGUGAAAUUCUUGGAUUUUUGGAAGACGAACUACUGCGAAAGCAUUUACCAAGGAUGUUUUCAUUAA